rnacentral:tRNA from 1 species
UUUGGUAGAAGUCAAAAAAGCGACUUAUCACUGUUAAUGAUUGAAUUGGAUCCAUCCCUGCCAA